rnacentral:rRNA from 1 species
AUUGAACGCUGGCGGCAGGCCUAACACAUGCAAGUCGAACGGCAGCACAGAAGAGCUUGCUCUUUGGGUGGCGAGUGGCGGACGGGUGAGUAAUGUCUGGGAAACUGCCCGAUGGAGGGGGAUAACUACUGGAAACGGUAGCUAAUACCGCAUAACGUCGCAAGACCAAAGUGGGGGACCUUCGGGCCUCACACCAUCGGAUGUGCCCAGAUGGGAUUAGCUAGUAGGUGGGGUAAUGGCUCACCUAGGCGACGAUCCCUAGCUGGUCUGAGAGGAUGACCAGCCACACUGGAACUGAGACACGGUCCAGACUCCUACGGGAGGCAGCAGUGGGGAAUACUGCACAAUGGGCGCAAGCCUGAUGCAGCCACGCCGCGUGUAUGAAGAAGGCCUUCGGGUUGUAAAGUACUUUCAGCGGGGAGGAAGGCGGUGAGGUUAAUAACCUUGCCGAUUGACGUUACCCGCAGAAGAAGCACCGGCUAACUCCGUGCCAGCCGCCGCCGUAA